rnacentral:tRNA from 1 species
GUUUUUAUAGUUUAAAAAAAAAACAUUGGUCUUGUAAACCUAAAUUAAGAAUUUUAUCUUUAAAAACU